rnacentral:rRNA from 1 species
AUUGAACGCUAGCGGGAUGCUUUACACAUGCAAGUCGAACGGCAGCGCGGACUUCGGUCUGGCGGCGAGUGGCGAACGGGUGAGUAAUGUAUCGGAACGUGCCCAGUAGCGGGGGAUAACUACGCGAAAGCGUAGCUAAUACCGCAUACGCCCUACGGGGGAAAGCAGGGGAUCGUAAGACCUUGCACUAUUGGAGCGGCCGAUAUCGGAUUAGCUAGUUGGUGAGGUAACGGCUCACCAAGGCGACGAUCCGUAGCUGGUUUGAGAGGACGACCAGCCACCCUGGGCCGGGGACCCGGCCCAGCCCCCUACGGGAGGCAGCAGUGGGGAUUUUUGGACAAUGGGGGCAACCCUGACCCAGCCAUCCCGCGUGUGCGAUGAAGGCCUUCGGGUUGUAAAGCACUUUUGGCAGGAAAGAAACGUCGCGGGCUAACACCCCGUGGAACUGACGGUACCUGCAGAAUAAGCCCCGGCUAACUACGU